CAAUCAAAAAAUACUAUUAAGUGCCGUCGCACGAUAAUCAUAAGCGGCGGCGUUGUCGGCGGUGAUUCCGAACGAUGUUACCGUCGUCAGUGAGUACCUAACCUAGAAAAUAACGUAGUAUUUAUUUAUUUUUGAUUUCACAGAGGAAAUAAUAUAAUACGUAACAAUACUUCACGUCAUACUUUCCUCUAGCCAUUUUCGUACUUGAAAAUAUCUUCAUCCGGCCAUUUUAGAUUCGGAGCGUAACGAAAAA